GGUUUUGAGUUUAGUGGUUAGCACGUUCGCCUCACAAAUCCAGGGUCCGGGGUUCGAUUCCCGCCGGGGCCA